CGGCAACCAUUCUCCGGGUGGUGAAACGCUAGUAAAUAUUUCCGAUUACACUUCGAUAUUUUGUUGCCCGGCGCAGCGUUCUAUACAUCUUCGUGCUUCGUCGAUCCUCGAGAAAUAUACUUUUUCGAAGACGACAAAUCAUCGUUCCGUCUUAAACACGCCAAGUAACUUGCACCACGAGAGAUCGUGUCCCUCUUCCUUUUCCAACGACCACUUUCCAUUCUGUUUACAGACAGAGACACUCGGCUAAAAUUUGGCAACCUACCAGUUUACCUCCAUAAAGCCAAUAAUGGAUCAACGAAGUUUAUUUCGAGUGUGAUAAUAAUGCUACAACGCAAUAGCACCCAUCCGGUUUGGGUUUCGUUCUUGUUGGUAAUAACCACGAGAAUAUAGAAGCGAGAUACACGCGAUUAAUACGAGUAUAGAAUAGCAAAACCGAGUGAGCGAAUUCCCGUGGAAAUUGGUAAAUCGUGCGAUUUCUCAUUCAUGUAGGUCAACGAACACGACUAUCCUAACAGAGCCUUGUGCCAGUUCGCAGCCAACGCUUUAAUAAAAGUUGCGCACGAAGAUUAUUUUGGUACAGCGUUUCUGCUACUAGUUACAAGCGUUCCGUUGCUGCAACUGCCGGUCCUCCGAGAUUUGUUUGAUGCGUGGAAAGUAAGAUCGAUCGAGGCACGGACCAAACGAAAGUAGGAAAAAUUCUGCGCGAAGACUGACAUCCGUGGUCGGAUACGCGGCCUGUGCAAAGCGCAAAUACGAAAGCGCAGGCUUGGCACGAGAUAAAUGUGGGUUGCUGGAGCACAACGGCUACAAACAUACUGUUCCCUCGAUCUGAUGAAUGGAUAUAAUCCGAACGAUUUAUCAGACGCUGGACUUCGACCGACAGGUUAAAAUGUUUCAAAUUAAAACCACCCCUUUAAUGAGCUUCUGCACGUUUGUGGAUCCAAGAUAUACCUUUCACUUUGACAAUUAUAUGUAUAUCCUAUAAUUAAGUAUAAAUACACAUAAUCUAAAUAUCUCUAAU